rnacentral:lncRNA from 1 species
GGGAGGAUCUGGUGCCCCACACUCAUUUUUUUGCUGAUCCAAAAGAGCCUUUCUUGCUAGAAAUUUACGAAAGGAAUGACACCUUGGAACCUUGUUGCUCAUUCCAGUGACAAUAACACCUGUGUGAUUGCCUGUUUGCUUCUCUUGAAGAUUCUGAUGGAGAAGAUGAGCCAAUGCAAAACUAAAUUCAGGACGCGUCUGUGAACUUGAAGAGUGCCAUGUGGUUAUCUAGUAUAAUCAAACACGUUUUGUGAUUAACAUAGUGGUUAUACCAAGCAUAUAUAACUUGUGAAUCAUGCUCAAGAUAUGUACCUGUAAUUUGUUAGAAAUAGAGAUUGACUUGUCCAAAAAAACAAGGAAAACAAAUGCCCUGGUGCAGCUUCUAAGAAAACAAAUGCCCUGGGGUGCAAUAUUCUUCUUGUUGGUUUAAAUUGUCAUACAAGGUUCCAGACUUCCAGCUUUCAGUUGAAGUAUAAAGCUUCAUCGGUCAAAAUGCAUACCAACUUAAGACGCUUACAAUUUAAAGCCAUUGUUCCUCCCUAUUAUUCUAAUCUCAAAUCUCAAUAUAAAUCAGUUUCUCCAAACAAGCUUGAAGAGCUGGAGCACCCAUGUUAUGAAAAAUCUCAUUCAAUGAUGCAGACCACAUAUAUAUACAUGAUGAUGAUUCAUAAAACAAAUGUGAAGCCAUUUGUGGCAUUUGAUAAACUCAUAUACAUCACAGAACAAAUGAAAUCUGAGAGAGCAAAUUACCUUAGGUUUUAUUAACAUCUUUCUCCUUCCUCUCCUCUUCUCACAGAACGAAUGAAGCCAACCUCUUUCUCCUUCCUCUCCUCUUCUGUUCCUUCACUUUAGGUUUCAUCGAUUUGUUUCUAAUAAGCUAGGGUUUUUUUUUUUCUAAAUUCUGUUUUUGUUUUUUAUUAUAUUUUUCAUAUAUAAGUUAUAAAAUUACAUGCUACCUGGUAAACAAGUUACCAAUAUUGAAUAAUCUAAGCCGUUAGAUAUAUUCAAAAUUUUAUUAUAUCUAACGGUCAAGAAUAUUCAAAGAGUUGAUGUAUCAACUCACCUUAUAAUUUUCCCCUUAACAACAUUGUGCCCCUGAACAUGCUAUCUCUUUUCUAGCUAGCUGGAUCAAUUAAUGGGCAAGGGUGCUCACCUCAUCCAUUAUCCAAAUGCCUUUGUCAUAUCGCCAUUAACAAAAAAGUAUCUCCAUCUAAACUAAUCUCAAAGGAGCGAACAUGGCUGGGGCUCUGAAAAAACAUAAAUUUCUUUAGCCGUGAAGCCUCUUGAAGGACUAACUCGUCAAGUUGGACGAGCACAGACAUGUAUCCAGGAAUUGGAGAGUGAUCCAAAAUGAGGCAGUGAGACAUACUCAACUCUUCUAAUUGCUUCAUUUCCUUGAGCAAGGAUAGCAUAGCAUCCCUGUGCACCAUGUUGAACUCAAUACUUGAGACCUUCAAACUUGGUGCAUAUGCAAUAAUGCUCUCUGCACAAUCCAUGUCAACCAGGCACAGCAUUUUCAGCUCGAUGAGGUUGUUGCAGUGCUGACCAAUUGCCUUCAUGAAUUCAAUAGUAAAUCUACCUCGAAUAGUCAAUGACUCAAGCUUUGGCCAGUUCUUUGCAGCUUCUUCAGACCCAUUAACUAGUCUUUCGGUGUCCUGAACUGGUAGAACAAGUCUUUUGAGAUUUGGGGUUAUGUAAAAGAGAUAACUAGUCGAUCAGUUUACGUUUCAUCAAAUAAUCUCUUUAGUACAUUUUUGGAGAAUGUGAAUACUAACCUUUUAGAAACAAGAACCAACUGCUGACUUGUUAUGUAUGUGUUGAGGUGGAAAAUCAAGCAUGAUAUGGUUCCACCGCAUAAACGGAAAGCACUACUGAGGAUGUUAAUAACCCUGUGGCUAGACUGCUCCCGCUGUGGAUUGAAGUUCGUGGCCUUCAGCUUACUAAAAUCCACUACCUCCCAGAGGCAGGGUUCGAAAGCUGCUUCCCGCCAAGAUUUGCAAACAGAUGCCACACAGACUAACUCAACAACAUUCAGUGUCAUGAAUAUACGAAUAAGUAUAUCAUUAUCCAUGUGUGCCCAUCUGUCAAAUCUUGAGUUUUUGUUUGUCGUCAUAGUACAAAGGAAGUGGCUGAAACCAUCAAGGAUCAAAACAAUUAAGAUACUGUGUAUACUAGUAAAGAAUCAAGGAUUAAAAUAUCAAACAUUGAAAUGAACUUUUGUUUCAUACAAAAUGCAUAUAUAGCGAUCAAAUACGAUUAUAAGAGAUGACUAAUCAAUCUCUAUUACUGUAUAGUUUCUCUAUUUUCCAGACUGAGAUUGAAGGACUAGGAUUUAAUAACUUAUGCUAAACUAGGAUGCCAUACAUUAUUCUAUAUGUUUCUGGUUUUAAGAGAUAGGAUUUAAUUAUUGAUGUUAUACUAAGAUGCCAUACAUUAUUCUAUAUGUUUCUAGUUUUAAGAGAUACAUUUUGUUGCCUCCACUGAACAAUAUUAUUACCGAGUGGAAGAAACAAGUCUAACAUAAGAAAUGCGAGACUAGAUAAUAUCCAGAAGGGAAAACUGAUAAGUUAAAGGACAGACAAAGUUACACAGUGAAGAAACUAAAACUAAGUCAUAAAGCCUUGAGAGACAAUAAGCUACAACUAGCAAGGAAUUCGUGAACACGAUGUAAGCUUUGAGAACAUACUAUGAUCGCAACAAGGCUUUAAAGAUAUAGAAUAAUCAUUAACGAAGCUUCGAGAACACUCCAAAUAAUUAAGGUUUGAAGAAUUGGAAUUUAUGAGGGAUAACAUUAAUUAUAUAAAGAUAUACAUCAUCCGUAUUCAUAUGAGAAACUUUCUGUAAACGAAUACAUGAUUUUCUGUUGACAAAUCAACCGUGCAUAUAAACUUGCCUUUCCUGAUAAGACAAAGAAAUUUGUUAUUGAUCUUUAAUGAACUCUACCAAGAUAAAGCCGCAAUUAGAAUUCGAAUACACUCACUAAAGUUAAUCACAUCAUAUCUAAAGAAGUAUGCAAAGAAUCUGAAAUUUUUGCAUUCAAGUAACCAAAUCAUCCGCUUAGGUUCACACAGAUGAUGACCAAGGAAAGGAGUCAAAGAACUACCACAACAUUACAAAUGUUUUAACUUCCACAGACAACAUGUGAUACCCUUGCUUAUUCAUUCAUCUUUGACUAGAAAAAGUAAAGAAUCGUUUUCCAAUUUAAUUCAACCCUAGCUGGAUAUAUCGAACAUGACUAAGAGAAAAAGGAAGCUCCAUAAAUGUUUUCUCAGAAAAUUGCACGAAAAAAUGAAACUGAAGUUGUGAAUAAGAAAGGAAAAAAGAAGAAUUUAAUAAACAUGGAUGUGUAUCCAAAUGCAUUGAAUGUGUGAAUUCGAUCUGCACUGGAUUUGCUUGGAUUAGUUUUCUUUCCAGUUCACCAACAACUGUCCUUUUUGUCAACCAAAUUCAAAUUCAUUUCUUUUUUAUGAACUAACUGUAAGGUUAUGGCAAUCAUAUUCAACCUAUGAGCAAAGAAGAAUUUGGAAAGCUCAAGUUUCCUAGCUCAACCAGGAGAGGUCUUGCUCGACUGGUUUUUGACUGUAGUAUCUUUCUGCAGUAACUCUGAUCUCGAUCUAGGAGGUAAAUGCAUUUCAUGCAUAUCAUGUUUUAUAACUGAUUGUGAGAAGAUUGAGUUUAUAUUUGGUAUAGAUCUGUCUAAAUUAUCUUUGAGAUGUUUAGGAAGAUAAAUGCUUAUCUGUUAGGAAAGUAUACGAAAUACAUAUUUGUUAUAACUGAUUUGCUUCUUGUUUCCUUGUUUAUCUCAAUCGGGAAUCAAAAGUGAUUCAGUUGAGGGGGAGUCCUUCCCCUUAUAUAUAUGAUUGAGUUGUCUCUUGAAACGUAGAGUUUUUUUAUAUUUUUAAUAGACACAUUGUGUUCUUAUUGCAGCACUGCUGCAUAUUUUCUUUUUGUGAAAAACUCUUAUUCCUUUGUUAUUGCAUCUGUUAUUUCAUUGUGAUCGAGAUCAGUGUGUUGGCAAACAAGAAGUGCUCGGUUCGUCUGUUCAAAGGCUGGAUCCAUUGCUUGUAGAAUAGGAAGAUCAGUUGUGAGAGAUCAAGCUAGUUUGUAUGCUAGUAAACGUGAAAGUAAUUGUACUUCACUGCUUGAUAGGAACUAUAAUUCUAUUUACUCUUAGUGGAUUGAUUUAAAUGUGGACUACUAUAAAGUAUUGCAGUGAGGUUUCCUUGUGGAAGGUUUACACUGUAGUCAAAAUCUUGUUUUUCUUGUUUUUCCUUGCAAUUUAUAUUACUUUGAGAAACAGAAAAACCAGUAAAUAGGUCCUAAACAUACUUUCAUUUGGUACCAGAGCAGGUGCUAGUCUUACUAGUAAAAGAUCCUGUCAAAACAUGGACAUAUCUAAGUCAAAUGGAUCGAUUAAUAAUCCACCUUUCUUUGGUGGAGGUUGUGAGCAAUACUCAUCCUGGAAGAUAUAUAUGAAAACACUUUUAUUUUUCAGUGGAUGAAUUAUUGUGGACUGUCAUUGAAGAUGGUUAUAAUCCUCCUGUCCUUACUGAUGACAAAAAUUCAACCGUGGCACUCAAACCCAGGAACACCUGGUGUACAACAGAAGUCAAUCUUUAAAAGGCAGACCACAAGGCAAGACACUGCAUAUUCACAGCUCUGUCCGAGGAAGAGAGAAUUUGUGUGAAUCACUAUGAAACAACCAAGGAGGCAUGGGAUCUACUGGAACUCACUUAUGAAGGUAAUAAAAAGGUAAGAUCUCAAAAGUUGCAACAACUUACUUAUGAAUUUGAAACUUUGACUCUAAAAGAAGAUGAAACUGUAGAUGACUUUUACAUAAGGGUGUUGAAAGUAGCAGGGCAGUGUAGGAGUCUAAAAGAGAAAAUUCCUGAGCAUAAACUUGUUAAGAAAAUUCUUAGAGGUCUGCCUAAGAGCUAUCAAGGAAAGGUUAUCAGUAUAGAAGAUGCUUAUGACCUAGACACCAUGAAAUUAGAUGAAUUACUUGGAAAUCUUAAGGCUUUUGAGCAAAGAUGGAUAGUUGGGGAAAAGAAACCAAAAAGUGUAGCCUUCAAAGCAACUAAAAAGGAAAAAAAUGAGCGAAGUGAGGAAGACUCUGAGAAUCUAGACUUAGCUCUAAUAACUAAACAAUUCAGAUAGUUCAUGAAAAAUAAAAACUCAGCUGGAAGAAAUUCCAAAGGAAAUUUUAAUUCUAGAAAGUUCAAUCACUCAAAAUCUGAGGGAGGUUCAAACUCUAGAACUGAUGGAAAUAGGUUCAAUCAAAAUGUUACUCCUUCUGGUCCAACUUGUUUUACAUGUGGUGGCCUUGGCCAUAUGGCUGCUGACUGUGGAAAUAAGAAAUAUGUAGGUACUAACAAGUCUUUACUCUCUACUUGGAGUGAUGAUGAAGAACAAACUGUGGCUUUUGUUUGUUCAACCAAAGAAUUUUCAGACUCAGACUCUGAUGAGGAUUUUGAAGAAGGACUAGAUUAUUAUUGUGCACAAAUGUUCAAGGCCUCGAAUUUAUUGGUACAACAGAAUAAAGUUCUGCAAGAUGAAGCUGAACUGUGGAUCUCCAAAAGGCAAAAAAUGGAGAAAAAAUUUAGUGAUCUACAACAGAGUUAGGAAGCUGAAAAAGCCAAACUAGAAGAAGAUCUAACAAACUUGCAGAGUGGAGAUGAGGGAACCUGGAGGACUAAAAGAACCGAACUAAUCAAUGAGGUAUUGUUUUUAAAAGAUCAAAAUUUAAAACUAACUAAUGAAAUCUCAGCUCUACAGGUAAAAUUGAACAUCUCAGCUGAAAAAUUUGAGCAGUUCAAAACCAGCUCAGAAAAAUCCUCUCAAAUGUUGCUAGUGGGAAGAAGAUAUGGUGACAGAUCUGGACUGGGAUAUCAGGGAGAAAAGACAUCCACAAAUCCAAUGAGCACAUCUACUAAGCUUACUGAAGACAAGGUGGGAAAAGCAGUAGAUCAAGCCUUGUACAGAUCUAUGAUUGGUAGCUUACUGUAUCUCACAGCUAGCAGACCAGACAUAUCUUUUAGUGUGGGCAUAUGUGCUCGAUUUCAAGCAGACCCAAGAGAAUCACAUCUAGAAGCUAUUAAAAGAAUCAUCAAAUACAUUGCUGAGACAACAGGUUGUGGUCUAUUUUACACCUUUGAUACUAAUGUUGAAAUCACUGCUUACUCUGAUGCAAAUUGGGGAGGAAAUCUGAAAGAUAGAAAAAGUACCUCUGGAGGAUGCUUUUUUUUGUUGGAAACAAUAUGGUGGCAUGGCAUAGCAAGAAACAAAAUUGUGUUUCCCUAUCCACCACUGAAGCUGAAUAUGUAGCAGCUGGCUCCUGCUGCACUCAAAUGCUUUGGCAUAAACAAAUGCUAUCUGACUAUGGCGGCAUCUCUCAAGGUAAGUUAUCUAUCUUCUGUGACAAUACUAGUGCUAUUAGUAUCACUAAAAAUCUUGUGUUACACUCAAAGACUAAGCACAUAGAACUCAAGUAUCACUUCUUCAGGGACUUGGUUGAGAAACAAAUUCUUCAAUUAAAUUUUGUCCCUACUGAGUCUCAACUUGCUGACUUGUUUACUAAAGCUUUAGACACUGAAAGAUUUUUAACGUUGAGAAAUGCUCUAGGAAUUCUGGAGCUUUAAGUUACCUCUGCAUUGAUAUGUUUAAUGGUGUGUCUGAACUUGAAAUUUGUCAAGAGAAAUUUUUUUUUCCGCAUCAGAUCUAUUUAUGAGAACUUCCAUUGUGCCUUAUUCUGGACUUUACUAUAUCUUGUUAUCACAUCAUCACUCUAUAUCUGUAUCACUUCUAUUUUACUAUUUUGGUGGUAUACUAUCAAGCAUGGCAUGUCAUGAGAUUGCUAGAGAACACACUCAUGAUCAUCGGUGACUCAAAACGCCAAAGGCUAACAAUCUGUGUUGGAUUUGACGUUUCUUUGAAGUAACAUGGCUCUGGAUACGGCAAACUUCUCAGGGUGUUCAAGCCAAAAGGAGAGCGUCAGUCUAAGAAAAUGCAAAGCACCAAAAGAAACCAAAAUAAACACAGCAAACUCAAGUUUAAGUUGUAGCAGUUCAAAUGAAAGGUCUUAAGGUUCACUCAAUAUUCAUUUUUCUGUUCUUACAAGAAAUUGUCACCAAGUGUACACUAAUCCGCUGUGUUUUGUGUUCCUCCAAUCUGAUGUCAUGCAAUGCCUUGUGUGGUGAUCCAUAAAUGGUAAAAGCACACACUCAAUCUCAAAUUGUUAUGAUGUGAUCUCACGGUAUCUGUUUUAGUUAAUAGACUCCAUCACAAUCUUCAACUUCAUAAUUCAAGAUCUUUUGCUUGCUUGAAUAAAUUUUUUUGACAAGAUUUUCAUGCAGUAUUUUUUUUUUCAAAUCAUCAUUGCAUGCGUGACUUAUAUUCUCUUCUUUUUCUUGAGCAUAUCAACAAUUCUUCCUCAUUGGUCCACUGUUUUAGGGGGAGCCGGUUUUGGUAUUCCUAGAUAUUCAAAGACUCUAGGACAUUUAUUGUUAGAAUUUCUCUCCUAAUUGAUUUCAGUCUCUUUAGUUUCCAAGAUCUUCAAACCCUACUAACUCUCUAUAUAUUGGCAGGUUGCACGCCUCUUCUCUCAUAAUUCUUUUGUCUUCAGUUCUCACUUCUUUUGUUAAGUGUGCAGGCACCAAUGGUUAGGGGUAAGGAAGUAACCCGGAUCAACUCUGCCAACUGGGGAGGACCUCAUCCUGAUGACUGGUAUCGCAGGAGACGAGCUCUCGGUCUUCCAACUCAUCCCUCUGAGGAAGCUCAUGAUCCCAGAAAUCCGAGACAGCACACUCCUCAGGCAGCUUUUCCUCCUUCUCCUCCUCGCCCUCCUCCUCCAAGACGGAACAACCAUCGUCCAAACAACGUUUAGGCCAACCUGAAUGAGAUGUUUCAAUACAUGGUGGUCAUCCGAGCUUAGCAAGGAGGCACAUGGUCGCAUGCUUGCUCAAUUAUGAGAGAGCUUUAGACAAUCCAUUGCACUCUUGCAAAUCUCCCUGGUUCAAUCUUGAAUCUUCAAGCCAUGCAGUCACCAUCCCCUCCAUCUGGUGUUAUUGGUGAUGAAGAGGAGGACUUUCUUGACGAGGUGGACUGGAAGCCCUAAGGCAUUCAAAUUCAAGGGGGAGAAGACUUUUGCUGUUUUUGUUUUACGCAGUUUCUAAUUGUCUUGAACAUUUUUCCUUCGGUUUUUGGGUUGUAAGUGCAUAAGCAAAGAUUUUUGGAUGCUUUGUUUAUUUAUUGAACAAUGGUAUUUGAAAUUUUAUUUUGCUGAUCAUGGGAGAUGAUGAGUCUUGAUCCCAACAGUUCAGUAAAAUCUUUUGGUACUGUCUCAAUGAUCUUUGAUUUUCAUCUGUGAUAUUUUUCUCACAGAUGAAGAAUCACGAGAGACUUCCAAAGUAGCUUAGUUUGAUGUUUUUAUCUAUUUGAUGCUUAAUCCGUGUCUUUGCAGGUACAAAAACAUCAAGGUUGAAUAUGAAUGCCAUAGGGGGAGAUUGUAAGGUUAUGGCAAUCAUAUUCAACCUAAGAGCAAAGAAGAAUUUGGAAAGCUCAAGUUUCCUAGCUCAACCAGGAGAGGUCUUGCUCGACUGGUUUUUGAUUGCAGUAUCUUUCUGCAGUAACUCUGAUCUCGAUCUAGGAGGUAAAUACAUUUCAUGCAUAUCAUGUUUUAUAACUGAUUGUGAGAAGAUUGAGUUUAUAUUUGGUAUAGAUCUGUCUAAAUUAUCUUUGAGAUGUUUAGGAAGAUAAAUGCUUAUCUGUUAGGAAAGUACACGAAAUACAUAUCUGUUAUAACUGAUUUGAUUCUUGUUUCCUUGUUUAUCUCAAUCGGGAAUCAAAGAUGAUUCAGUUGAGGGGGAGUCCUUCCCCUUAUAUAUAUGAUUGAGUUGUAUCUUGAAACGUAGAGUUUUUUGAUAUUUUUAAUAGACACAUUGUGUUCUUAUUGCAGCACUGCUGCAUAUUUUCUUUUUGUGAAAAACUCUCAUUCCUUUGUUAUUGCAUCAUUGCAUCUAUCAUUUCAUUGUGAUCGAGAUUAGUGUGUUGGCAAACAAGAAGUGCUCGGUUUGUCUGUUCAAAGGUUGGAUCAAUUGCUUGUAGAAUAGGAAGAUCAGUUGUAAGAGAUCAAGCUUGUUUGUAUGCUAGUAAACGUGAAAGUAAUUGUACUUCACUGUUUGAUAGUAACUGUAAUUCUAUUUACUCUUAGUGGAUUGAUUUAAGUGUGGACUACUAUAAAGUCUCGCAGUGAGGUUUCCUUGUGGAAGGUUUACAUUGUAGUCAAAAUCUUGUUGUUCUUGUUUUUCCUUGCAAUUUAUAUUACUUUGAGAAACAGAAAAACCAAUAAAUAAGUCUUGAAAUACUUUCACUAACAGAUAUGAUUUUGGUGCAAUAUUCUUAUUAUCUAAGUUCGAUUCUCACAGACAACAGACAACAAGUGACACUCUUAUGAAGCAUUUAUUUUGAACUUCUCCUACACUACCUUUUUCCCAACUCAAGUCGAAGAAUGCCUACAUUAUUGAGUUUCACUAGUUGUGAUCUUUGUUCAGAGCAUAGAUCUGAUAUAUCAUCAUAACCCUGAAAUCAACUAAUAUGCAACCUCAAAAUUACAAGAUUAUAUUUUGUAGAAAAACUAAAAAAUUCCAGUCUCAAGAUGUAUUAGUUAGAUUUGCAUGUUUCUUCUGCUUCAGCAAAAGAUGGAUCAAAGUAAUCCAUAUGUAUACGACAUGCAAAAAAGAAAGCAGAAGAAACAAUCACAUACAAUUUCAAAUGUAGCCAAUCUAAGUAUCUGAAAUUUUUAGUUUAUAAAGCUAUGAUCAAUAACAAUCUAUCUGCAAUAAAUUUCAGAAAUGCAUCAAGUUUGGAAUUUAAAGUCUAAAGAACAAAAGAAAGAACAGACUCAUGCAACAAUUUAGCUCGAUCACCUCUGCUAAGAGCUCUUUUGUUUCUCCUACAAUCUUAGAUAAGAACUCGACUUCGGUGACCAGGUAUGGUCACUUGUGUCACAUUCCGACCCUUAAAUUUUUACCUUAUUUACUAGCUUGGUUAUAAUAAGAAUUUUACCGUCUCCGUCAAUGAAGUUAUAGUUUAAUUGGUUUCUAGAGGGGUUUUAGGGGACUAUUAUUUCGGAGAGUUAUUCGUAGGAGAAAAAUAUGACGACGGUAAAAAUGGUAAAUUUUAGAUAGUAAGAGGUAAUUUUUAUUAGGGUAUUAUUUUUGGGGUGUAAAUUUUUAGUGGAGUUGGGUAUAUUUUUGGACUUGGACCGGGUGUGGAGGCCCAAAGCAUUUCUUUCUUCUCUCUUUCUUCUCUUUUCUUCCCGGUUCUCUCUCUCCCCGAGUUCCUCCGGCUGCUAGACAUUCCGGCCGCUCGUCCGCCGCCGUCCGGCCGCCUGAGACUGCCGCACCGGUCCUGUUCAGUUGCCCUCCGACCCAGCUUCCUUUCUAGGCCGGUGAGGGCUGCCCUAGCUCCGCCGUGAAGGAGUUCUUUCCCCCGAAAGCGGCGACUGCCGUGGUGGUUCCAUCGUCGGAACUCCCUCCUCCGGCCACCAAUCCGGGCAAGCCAUAUACGGUUUUUGUAGGUCUCCUACCCAGCUGCCUUGCCCUAAAAGGACUCACUCCGGUUCGCUUCAGGUAAGGAGAAAUUUGAGGUGGAAGUUCUAGGGCCUUUUUGAUGUUUUUGUUCGAUUAGCAUAGCUAGGCUUGGAUUUUGGGUUUGUGCUAGUUAGGAAAGUUAUAGAGCAUGAUGAGAGGAUUAUUCUGUCAAAAUUUGAUAGGAAUUGGAGGUUGCCGGAAUCGGCCUCCGGCCACCGCCGGUUGGGAGAUUUUAAUGUUUUUAAAUUUGGAAUAUUAAGGGGAGUUUAUUGAAGUGAAUUAUGGAAUUUUCGGAUGAGUUUUGGAUAGGUUUGUGAAUUUCCGAAGUUUGGUAUUUUUGGCGGUUAAUUAAUGUAGAAUCCGGCCGUAGGAUUUAAGUCAUUAAUCUGUAGAAGGUUGAAUUAAGGCUGCCGGUAUGUUCGGUGAAGUUGGAGCCAUAUUGAGUUAGGAAUGGCUAAGUUGGGCAAUGAUGAGUGUGUGGGAGGCUCACGUUUAAUUUUGCCCAUUGUGUUUAAUUAUUGGAUUUUUAGUGGGAAAUUAAUUAUAUAUUUGGAACAGGACGAGAGGAGGCCCGAGCAGAAGAAGCCUCGGAGCGUCAUCAGGCUUAAGCCUAAUUUGUGAGUGGACCUUUGUUUUAAUUGAAAAACAUGCGAUGAAUUAUCUUGUUAAUCAUUUAUUUCUUUUCCUGAGAUUUAUUUUCUUUCUCGGAUAUUUGGCAAUUUUCCUCCUUUAAAGAGAUCCUGAAAAUAAGAUUUUCGGUGGAUAUGUUUAUUGGAUAUUAUGAGUAUAAUAUGUAUAUUGGGUCUUGUCAACUUGCAAGUGACCAACACCAAUGAGGAAGAGACACGUGUCCCGUUAAAGACUUUAAGUUUGACUUUAAGAACAUUUUAAAGGGUUAUUGGUAAUUAAUAUUUAUAUUUAAUUAUUUUUUCUGACCACAUGUUACUUCUUCAUUGGUGUUGGUCACCUGCAACUUUCAAGUGACAGACCUUGUCACAUAAGUUUUUUCCCUUAGAUAAAGUUUCAGAAAGGACAAGGAACCUCAUAUAUGCGGGAAGAGUGGGAUACUUGGCUUUUUAAUUCUAAAAACAAUCCUUUGGUUUUGUAACGGCAGAGCAAUAACCUCGUUUGUGUCCGAGGUUCUUCGGUCAAUUGCAACAUGAAGAGUCAGCAAUCAGCAGCAGAGGCUGUCCAGUUAAACACUUUGCAUGAAAUAUGAGAAGGAAACGUGUGGCACUUCUAAAUCAUUUGAGUUUAUUAGGAUUAGGAUUUACCGUAUGUAGCUUAUAGAAAAUUUCCAUUUAAUACUAAUUUUACUACCUCUGACCCAAAUCAACAUACACUUUAAAAGACCUCACAUUUUCCGAUCCAAAAAAAAAAAAAAAAUCUCGCAUUUCCCUAUAUGGUGAGCUAAGUUAUGCCUAAAUGAUACAUAUAAGUUUUUUUCUUAGUAUUUUGUGUAUUUUCUAGACAAUUUUGUCCUCACACAUUGGUCACAUGCAUAGUGAGAGAAAAUGGAAUAGAGAAAAUCCAUAGACAAUUUUGCCGUAAUCUCGCCCGACGCCGGUCUCCGAAGACCGGAUUCUGAUCGUCGGACUCUGGUAGCCCGAUAUUUUUCCGGAUUCUUGAUGCACUUUUUCAGAUGUCAUCAUAAUCUUAAUGGACUUUAUCAUAACUAGAGGAUUCUUAGAAUGUGGUUAACUGUUUAUGUAUUAAGGGGUAGUAAAGAUAAAAUCUCAUCCAAACAUCAACCAAACUCUAUGUCGGACAAUCUUAGAGAUUAUGUAUGGGCAAUAAACGAUGAACUAUUAGGGAGCAAUAAAUGUUGACAACAUUUAUUCCUCCCCCACCAAAUAAAUAUUUAAUAUAUAAGAACAUUUCAGAAUAAAAAAAAUAAACAAAUUUCAAUUGGAGAGAAGACACAUUAUCCACGUGAUCAAUUGGCGCAUUGUAUGAUAUCAUUUAUAUAUAGGAAGAUCACCGAACUAUGUCGGACAAUCUUCAGAGAUGAUAUAGGGGCAACAAAUACAUCCAAACAAGCUCACCAGAAAGAAACAGUUACAGUUAUAACGCCACUCUACUUGGGUUUACUCUUCGCUAGGGUUUCGUUCCUUGCACCAAGAGAUCCUUUUCUUAGCUUCUAACAUGGUUGAUGAGGUAUUGGCAAGUCUCACUGAUUUCCUAGCCAUCUCCACGAAGGGGAAAAUAUUUUUUGGUGGUGGUGGCGCACUGGCUGUGUCACAAUUUUCUCUAUAUUUGGACACCAUAUCCUAAAAUAGGGAGUAUUUCUAAAAGGACUACUAAGUUAAUUAUUUAUUCGUUUCACUCUCUUUUUCGAUCUUAUAUCCACAUCUCGACCGUUUAAUUUUUAGAUAUACAUAUACUCGCAAAGUCACUAUGCAAGUGGGUGUCUGUUGACGUCGUCUUGAAAGCCGGAAUCUAGGGCUUUGAUGUGGACUCAGAUUUCGAUAUAAAGUUUGAAAAAUCGCCUCUCCAUGAGAGAAAUUGAAGAAAGAGACGCAUGUAUUACGUUUCAAGGUGGAGAAAGAGCGUGAUGAGAUAUAUAGUGAGGCAAUGGCCAUGGUUAUGCGGUCGUUCGAUGUUUCCUUUGGCGGCCUUUGAUGGUCUUGAGGACUUGAAAUCGGUUUCAAUACUCUCGUUGCUGGUGUGGGUGGAGAUCCUAGGGCUUCCGCUAAACUAUCUACUGAUGAGGCAGCCUACAUGGAAGUGUGUAUGGUAAGAGAGGUUACUUUUCUUGAUAAGAUAAGGAUUUAACGUGGGACUCAAGCUAGAGUUUGGAUCUGACACUCUCUCGAUGCUCUAGUUCAUCAACCGUUUCUGAUUGGAGCUUGAGGUCUCGUUAAGUAUAGUGGCAAAGCUUCGCUUCAAGUAUGAGAUUUAUAGGAUUUGGACGUGUGGACUACUGGAGCAUGGUGUGGGAGGAUAUGGAGGUCUCCCGAACUUUUCGGAGGUGGAGAAUAGCCUAGAAGAGAUGCAAGCUGCUACCGGCUCUAACCUUUGGGCAUAACAGCGUGUUAUCGUUGUAAGAAAGGCUGGAGGUACGUUUUUGGUCAUUAUAGGUGAUGGUGGCAUACCUCAAACAUGGGCAAAAUUCAUCUUCCCUUCCCCUGCAGUUAAUCACUUCAAGACCCUUGCGAUUUUCUCUAUUUUGGGGUAUAAUGCGUAGCUGUUAGCACACCAAACUGCCGCCAUGCUAGGGCGGCCUGCUCCGAAGCCGAUGUGGUCCAAUGCUGUUACUGAACUAGUGAUGAUGAUCACUAGAGGUACAUGUCAAGCAAUGCAGGGUGAAAGAGGAAAAAUCCUAUAUUGAUUACCUAUGUUAAGAGCCUAACGGUUUUGAAGUUGGCUGCUCCUAUACAGCUUGAGUUUGAAACUUCUUUAGCUCUAGUGUCACAGUAGAAACCAUUGUUAUGCCCUCCGCGAAGUCUGAUUGAGGAUGAGGGAUCUUUUAGUGAAGUCUCCUCUGCAUAGGGAGGUCUCUAAAGAGUAUGAAUAAAUUAUAAAUGGAGAUUGACAGGUUCAGAUCACUCUCUGGUUGUGUCAUUUUGGUUACUUGGUUUUGAUUACGAUCAAAGUCAUUUUUACGUAGGACUCUAGGUAAGGUCUUAGCAAUAGCUCUUUUCUAGACGGACCCUUCAAAAUAUGGGUUCUUGUGUACUUUUGCAUCCACUAUCUUUGUGUACUCCAAAGAAAUGUUUAAUAAGAACAUUUCAUAAUAGAAAUCACAACAACUUUCAUUUUGAGAGAAGACAUACUUUCAUCUACUUGAUUAAUUGGUGUAUUUUCUGAUAUGAUUCUGAACCAGUAAUCCUUGUAUGUAUGGAAGAGCCUCCGAAACAUGAAACGAGCCCCAAAAGAGCCCAGCCCAACAACUAAGAGCACCCAUAGAGAUGGGCACCCAAUAUUCUGGCAUGUUGCCGUUGUUGCCGUCACCUCUGAUGAGCAACCUUGAUCCCACAUAACCACACCGUCGAUAUCACCACACAACUACCUCUCGACUUUCACACCCAACCCCCACGGUCGGAAACAAGUGCAUGCCCAUGUCGACUACAAUACUCAUUCCAAGCUAUCGGACCACCGUUGAUUACAGUGGUGUAGCUAGAAACCACAAGUAGAAGAACCAAGAGUUUAAACAAUAAUGUCACACAAAAUAAAAAUAUAAUUUUUAUUGAAUAAUAUAAAAACUUAUAAAUCAUUAAAAUACUUAAAAAACAAAAGUUAAACAAAAUAACAAAUCUCCCUAAAGCAAUUAUAAUUGUCCUCGAUGAUUGCUCAUAUUUUGAAAUUUUUUCAUGAUGGUUUCAUUAUCAACACCAUCAAAUAUAUCUUUCUCGAUAUAUGUAAUCAUGUUGUCAUUCAUCAACGUGUCUUCCAUUCGGUUUCGCAAAUCACUUUUGAUAACCUUCGUCAGAUGUAUUUCUUUUUAGAGGAGCUUCAGAUGGUGUCGACUGUUCUGUUGUUUUUCUCUUUCGAUCCUUUUCAAAUAAAGCUAAAGCAUCCAUAAUUGCAUUUUUUUAAUUAUGAAGGUUGUCGACGACAGAGAAAAAUUUACUGAAAGAUAACAAAAAGAAAUACGUAAAAAAACAACUAAAACUGUUUAUAUAGAGGUGCACGAGAAAUCAAUCACAAUCAUUGAUUGAUUAGGAAAAACAUAUUAAUUAAAAAAGACAAAAAAAAAAAGAAAAAAAAGACUAGAAAUAUGUUUUAAUUGUAAUAUUAAAGGAAGAAGCAAUCAAUCAUUGAUUAGGAUUAGAAAUCUAUAUUAAAAAAAUAAUGAGAACCACGUGUAGUUAAACAUAUAUUAAACCUAUAUUGAUUAGGAGUUUUCUUUGCCGGAACGGUUUCAGUGCACCAUGGUGCACUGGAACCUGGUCAUGUGCAGUCACUUGACUGUUAGUCUCUGGUUAGUCAAUGACAGUGAAACAUAGACCAAAAAAAGAUCAAGUCUCAGUAAAAUUCAAUUUUACCAUGAUUUGUGGAAUAAGCCGACAUUUCAUAGACCCAAGAGUGUUCUUUCUGCAAGAACGACACGAUACAUAAUGGGUAAAAUUCAACAGACCCAAACUGCAAUAUGCAAGACCAGAUCUUGAAACUUUGAAUAUGGCCUCUCCUUCUCAAUCUCCUUCUUCAAUUGUAUCAACGCCAGCAACUAGACCUGAUUAACCGUCACCGAUCACCGACACCCUUCCUUGCCCCAGAAAUCCUCGACUAUAAGACCAGGAUCGCUCAGUUUGCCGGCGACCCGCUAUCCGGAUAGCACGACCCGGACGUGAAUUGAAUCGAAUCCAGCGAUCUGAUAAUUUCAUGUAAUUGAAUCUCUCAAACUCGUAUGCUACGGAGAACAAAAUUAAUGGCUUUGGAUUUCUCAUGAUUUUAGAUACGAAGACUAUCGACACUUGAACUUCUAAGGAAUAUCUCCAGCCACCAACUUAUGUUCCAUCUAAUAAGAACUAAAUUUUGAUUCCUUACUCCAUUGGAUAAAGCCGACAAGAAAAAGCUACCCCUUCUUCUUCUUCUUUUUUUUGGCUUAAUUUAUCUAAAAAAAUAUUUAUAAAAAAAAGAAUUAAAUUCAGUUUACCCCAUGAAGUUUAGGAGUAACUUCAUGUUAAUCCCUAUAUUUUCAAUUUCAUCAGUUUACCCCUCAAACUUUUGAAUUUUUCUCAAGCGUGACCAAAUGUCCUAUAUUUUGUCUAAAUCGGAAGUUAACUAUUGAUAAUUUUAACCAUAACUGUGAGUCCAGUAUCUAGAAUUUGGGCAAAUCAGACCUUAUAUGUCCAAAUCGAACCUUAACUGCUGAUAAUUAAAGGUCAAUUCAAACGAAAUAUGAGAAUUUGAGCACGGCAGACAGAAAUUGAAGAGUUCAAGGGGUAAACUGAUGAAAAUAAAAGUGUAGGGACUAACAUGAAGUCACCCCCAAACCACAAGGGGUAAACUGAAUUUAAUUCAAAAAAAAAUUAAUCUGAUUUGGUAGUUCAUUUUUUGUGGUCUUAUAAUUAAAAAAGUUUUUUCAAAAAAUGAAAAAUGAAAAAUAUAUUAAUUACAUUAAUAAAGAAAGAUCUUGUUCGUAAAAGCUUUAUUGAGCAAGAACGACACUUUCUUAACAAAACCUUGAUACAAAUUUUGUAUUAGCAAACUUUAAUAAAUAAAAUUUUAUAGAUACAAAUUUUAUAUUAGAAAAAUGUCUCAUAAGAUCACUUUACUCUUCAACAUGUUUGUUCGUCUAUCCAUGACAAUCAAUCUCUACUACAAUAUCCUGGUUCUUGUUUUUGUAUACUAACUUAUGUAUGUACAUUAUCAAAAUAAUUUAAAUUUUUUCUCAUCAAAAAUAAACAAAACCUCGAUACAUGGUUACCCAUAAUUUAUUUUAAUAACGUAUGUAUAUAUGUAAGUUAGUAUACACAAGCAAUAACUGAAAUAUUGUAGUAGCGAUUGAUCGUCACAGAUAGACGAACAAAUAUGUUGAAGUUUUUCCUUCCUUCCUUCCUCAUAUUAUUGGUAAUGUUAAAUAUUUUGCUUCUCUUAUCUAUGUUUCAUAGCACAUGAAAUCUUAUACACGCUUAUUAGCAUUAGCGUGGUCGAAUGUUUUCAUUAUCCAUAUGUAAAUGUAAAUAUUAUAAGACUAACAAUGUUGAUAUGGAUAUUAUAUGCAUGUGAUAGGAUUCUUAGCCGGUGUCGUUUUUUUUUUUUUCUUCUUAUCUUGAUUUAAUAGGUCAAUCGUAUAUACAUUGAUACUAUUACAUUUAUAUAUAAAUUAAUAUAUUAAUUAAAAUAAAUUAUUUAUGAUUAAAACAAUCCAUAAUAAAAAAUAACAAAUAUAUAUUAUACCUAAUCCUAAUCAUAAUAGCAAAUUUUACACGUCUACCAUUUAUAUGAGCACUAAGAGAUCCAUCCACAUUAGUCAAAUGGGUAAAUAGGUAAACUCCAUAAUUAUUACGUUUUAAACAAAAUAACAAAAAAAAGAACAAAAAAAGAAUAAUAAUCCCUUUUUGCGUCUCCGGAAACUAAAAAGGAAAUAAAAAAUCUCACUAAAAAGACUUAAUAUUGUAUUAAAAAAACAAAUAAAUAAAAAAUAAUAAAAGUCAAGCAUAAUAACCCUCUCCCAUUGAUAUUUGAAUUAAUUGCCCAUGUAAUAUUUAUUGUAGCCUUACCUAUUUUUACCAUGUUGAUUGUAUUUCUUUUUAUCUCAAUUAUCUAACGAUGUUAGUAUCGGUGUUAGUACGUGUCAUGCAAUUGACUGCAUUAAAUGAAUGAUUGUGAUUAGUCAGUUACUAUUGGUUCACUUGAACAUUGGUGCACUGAAGAACUUUCGUUUCUUUGCUGACAAACUUGAGGAGUUGAACACUCCUCUGUCUAAAUUGAUUGCUGUAAUUAAUAUUUUAUAUGUCAAACGUUUCUCUAAUUGGUUAGAAGAAUCAAAAUAGUGCCAACAUCACAUUUCAACUGACAAAUUAUAUAACAAUAUGAGAACAAUAUGACCUAUUCAAAAAUGUGAGGGACGUCAGCUGAACCCCCUGGUUCUCCCUUCCCUACGCCCCUGGUUGAUUAGACUAACUGAAUUCACGACAUAGCUAAAAGUUAAAAUGAAGACCCACUUAGGGGCUUGGUGCAACUGCUAAAUUGAUAUAACAAGCUAAACUCGCUCUCCGAAAUGGCUAACCGGUCUUUCCAAUAAUUUGUAAUUAUUUUUUUUAUCGGGUAAUAAACAACUCAAAUAUUACAAACGAGUCUUUUCUGAGUCGAAUUUAUAACCUCUCACUUACUAAAAAGUGACCAUACUUUUUUUUUAGCAAACUAUAUAUUAGUUACCAACCAAAUUUUAAUUUUUCAAAUACAUCUUUUACACAUUAUCUUACAAAUUUAAGGACAAAAAUUAACAAUUUAGGACACAUUAAUGUCCACAUGCCAUAUGUCAUUACAUAUUUUACCAAACUAUCCUUCUCUGCUAUUGUCGAUCAUAAAUGUGCUACUGUCGAGGAGGAAGGUGCUACCAAAAAUGUGCUACUGCCGAGUAGAAGGUGCUACUACCAGUGUUGUUGCCUUUUUUAUCCGACAAUUCUCUGAUGCUGACGCACUACUAUUGUCGACUCUAAUGCUAACGUGCUGCUACUGUAAAAAAAACUGCAAAAAACAAACAGCACCACAACCUCAAACCUCCAUCAAUCCAUAUCUCACCAAACUCACCAAAUCCAUAUCUCACAAAAUUCAAACCUCCUCAACCUCAAUCCCGCUACUGUCGACGACUCGACAGAGCCCCUACUCCCAAAAAAUUUGACUGCCGCAUAUCAAGCCAUGACGACACGGCGUUCAACGAAGUGAUUGGAGCGAAUCGAUUGGGAUCGACUGAACUUGGUAGUCAUCUUAGCGUCGGGGGCGUCACCGAUGAAGCAUCGCCGUUGAAAUUGAAUCUGGUGUCUUCGAGGCAGAGGCAGCGGUGUCGGAGCCGUCAUCAUCGUCAAGGCGGAGGCGUCUUCAUCAUUGUUGAGGCAGAGGUGUUGUCAUCGUCGGCGUCGUCGAGGCGGAUGAGGUAUCGUCGUCAUUGAGGCGGAGGCAUAUUCAUCGUCGUUGAGGCAGAGGUGUUGAGAGAGAGACAGGAGUAGAUCUGAAAAAGACGAAAGGGGAGAGAGAGAAGAGUAGAUCUGAAGGAAAAAAAUAAGAAAAAGGAAAGAUCAAGUGAGAGGAAUGUUGGGGAUGAGAGGGUAUUAUGGUAUUUUUAAUAGGUAAAAUUCGGAUCAGGCCUCAUGCUAUUAGUUUGGAGCUUGGUUGAUGUUCUAAAUUGUAUAAAAAUUAAUAAAAAUAGAUUUUUUGUGUUUUUAAAUUUGGUUAUGUGUUACCGGAUAGUUUUUUUAUUCUUUUAUUCCUACCGAAACAAAUUUGUCAUUUAAUACGACACCGUUGCGUCUUCGGUGACCACACAAAAACCCUGACUUCUCACAACCCUAGUCUCCAUCCCACAGAAACCUGAGAUGAGGCGAUUACAAACGGCGGCUUACUUGCCGGAAGAAUUGACGGUUAAAGUCCUGGAGAGGUUGCCGGUCAAAUCCCUAAUCCGGUUCACCUCCGUUUCUAAACGCUGGCGCUUCAUCAUAUUGUCCGACCCCGAAUUCGCGAAAUCCCAGUUCCAAAUCGCUUCUCAGCACCAAACCUUCCGUCACAGAGCCCUCGUCUCCACCUCCAACGAAACUGAGAUUGAAUCCCAUAACUUGUUGUCUUCCUCAUCGCCAAAGCUUAGGUGCCCGUUCAUUCUGCCCCGGACUGCUGUCAAGUUAAUUUGCUCCUGCAAUGGUUUGGUUUGUGCACUGCUUCUUCCACUAAAGCACUUCUACAUCUGGAACCCAUCAACUGGCUUCUUCUCUAAGUUACCUGAACCUGUUGGUUACCCCUUAAAGAAUCGAUCCCUGUUCAUCUGUGGGUUUGGCUAUUUGUCGGCCUCUGACGAUUACAAACUUAUCGCCAAACUUAAAGACGAUAUGUUUGGUGAUGGGUAUGACUAUGAUUAUUAUUUUGAUGUCGUCGUGGUGAUGCUUAUCUUCUCAUCUAAAGCCAACAGUUGGAAAAGAACAGAAGCCCCUGUCGGUUAUCACUUCAAUGGUGCUGGGAUUCUUUCAAAUGAGGUGGUUCAUUGGAUGGACAAGCGGAACGACAUGGCCAUCGUUGCGUUUGAUCUAGCAGAGGAGGAGUUCCGGGGAAUGCCGCUGCCAGUUGUAGAUGGUGGUGAGCUUGGAUUUCUCCGGGCUUAUGGAGACAGUCUGUGUGUAUUCGAUCUUGCAAAGGUUUGUACUUCGUGCUCCAUUGAUAUGUGGGUGAUGAAGGAAUACGGCGUGGAUGACUCAUGGAUGAAGCUAUUUAAGUUGAAGAUUUCCAAUCAGCCUGAGAAUAUAAAGGGGUUACGGCCAAACUUGGUAUUGGAAACUACCACAUUUCUGCAAAAGAGAACUGUAGACAGUGAUGGGCGGAGUGUGAUCGAGGUGAUAAGGAGCGGUCAUACUAAAGAGGAGCUUCAUUCGUUUGUGUUAAGCAUGAAUGCAAAAUUCAUGGAAAUGAUUGAAUAUGAAGAGACUCUACUUCGGCUUGGUUAGUCACCCCUCAUUUUCAAAUUUCUAUGCCCUUCAAUUCACAUUUGUAAUUGAUUGAAUCGGAGUGAUAAUAAUAUUAGACCGUUUGCUUUUUGUUAUUUUUAGGAUGUGACUUUAUGUUACUAUAAAGGAAUCAUUACACUUUGAUACAUUCAUGCUUAAGUCAGUAUUUGUGCGUUUGUGCUCCUACCACAGUUACUUCCAUUAUGAUAUACUGCAGUCACAUAAUGUGUCUUUGGCAGAAGUUAUGACUUGUGAGAGUUCUGCUUUGUUUUGCCAAAACUACGGUGGUUUUGGUUGGCCAAAGCCAGUUUGGGGAUGAGUGUGUUGGUUGUAAGUGAGAGAUGGGAGAAAAUGUAGAACAAAUUGAUUGGUUCUAUGGUCCACUUCUGUUAAACAUAUAUGGCAGCUUCUCUUGUAUUGUUAUUUGUUUCAGAUAGGUAGGAAUAGCAUCAGGCCCGCUCACCUGCGGGACACUAUUUACGGGACAGAAAGGGACGAAUCACUCACAGCCUUUGGAUUUUAAGUGACUAAAUCUUACGGUUAUAAUGGCUCUAGCCUUUUAUCCAAUUCUUAUCCCAAAUUCCCAACUUAUGCGACCUGCACCAUCUUCUGCUCACAAAUUUGUCCAAGCCAUGCCCAGAUUUUCUGUUGAUCUUCUUGUCCUCUCUCUCUCUCUGCCAUGCCCAGAUUUGUUCUUCUGCUUACCCUCUCGCAACUCCCUAGGCCAUAGUAUCUGCAAUCUCUUUACAUCUACUUUCUCUGCACUUCUUUUGUUUCUUCAUGAGAGUUCUAUUUUCAGAUCUAUUUCAUUCUUUACUACUCAAUCGGUUUAUGGGUCAGAGUAUGGGUUCGAUAGUUUACUCAAUUUUCCUAUUGCAAUUGAUUUUCUCUACGGUUCCUUUGUUUUCCUACUUAUGUUUGCUUUGUUUUUUUGGAGUUAGUUUUCAUGUUUUGAACCCGUAACAGAUCACUUCGAAUGAUGAGAGAGGAUAGCAUAAAUACCUUUAUGAAAUUACAAAUAGGAUGGUGAGAUGAAGGGAUAAACAGAUGAAGAACUUGGAGAUCUGGGUAGCAGAGGCUGGUAAAGGAGGAACUGCAGAACUGGAAUCUAAUAGGUUUAGAUUAGGGCUGUAAGAUUUAAUCACUUAAAAUCCAAGGGAUGUGAGUGAUUCGUCCCUUUCUGUCCUGUAGACAGUGUCCUGCAGGUGAGCGGGCCUGGGCAUAGUAUUAUUAGUCUACCAGUUUUAGUUUUUCUUUCUUUCAGGGUUUUUUGGAGGGUUUCUUGUCUCCUGCGUUUUUUUUUUUUUUGGCUUCUGCUUCUUUUCUCUUGUGUGUAGUGUGGACAUCUUAUUCUGUUUAUCUCAACGCUGAUAUUUGAAUAAUAUUGAAGACCAUGUUGUCUGUUAUGCUAGGAACUUAGCAGGUAGAAUAUGUUUUAUUUUCUAUAUUGUAUUUCUAAUGGUCGUCUCCCUUGGAUUGCAUUUUUGUGCCAAGAUUUUAGUUUGGGUUUGGCUUAAUCGGUUUUGAUACAUAUGCAUUGUUGAUGUCUGCUCUCUUUGUUGAGCUUUUGCCAACUACUUGAUUUCAUCUGUCUUCAUUUAUAAGCCAACCUAAAUAGCAUGAGCUUUGGGUCUUGCAACUUAUUUCAAUCCCUACCCACAAUACACCAAAUUCCAUCACAAAGGUUGUGAUUGUUGUAGGAGUGUUGGUUACAUCAGUUGGUUCAAGUCCAAGUGUUCGACUGCCAGUUUUAAGCUAGGUUGCAUGGAAUCAGAAGAGGAAAUGUAUGGAAACGCGGAAGCGUUUUUUUUAAAAAAAUACUUGGAAGCUGAAGCAUUUUGGAAGCGCGGAAUAAAAUAAAUAUAAUAUAUAUAUAUAUAUAUUAUAAGAAAUAAAAUAUGUAUUUAUAGAGUACGGCUAUUGAGACCUCCAAAUUUGCUCACUUGACCUCCUUUUAUUAUGAGUUAUUGAAUGACAAUUAUCUCCUCUUACGUAAUGACUAUUAAGGACAAUAAUCAUAUAAAAAUAAGUUUAUUUAUUCUCUCUACACUUUCCAAUUCAAUAAUUAAUUGUAUUGUUAUUCUUUAUUAAUUUUCCUUAUUAUAUUUUUAAUUUCUAAUUUUACUACUAUAUUAUAUAUUAAUUAAAACUAAAUAUGAUACAAUAUACAACAAUGUGACAUAGUAAUUUCUACUAUCAUACAUAUUAGAAGCAUAUAUAUACAAGGUGAAGAUUAUAUAUGACAAAAACAAAUCGAUAAAUAGAAAAAUUAAAUAACUAUAGAAAUAAUUCAUGAUGUACAUAAAUAGAGGAAAAAGGAACAUACAUAGUAUACAAUGUUAUCCUUGAUCGUUGUUUAGCACAAGUAAAAAUAAGAAAAAAGAAAAGCUAAUUUAUGUUAGAAUAUUUUCUUGUUGGUAAAUAUAAUUUUUUUUUAUCAGAUAAUUAAACUAUUAUUAUGCUACAACAAGCCUACUGUGAGUCGAAGACACGGCCUCUCACUUAUAAGGAGGGACGGUACUGGGUUGGUAAAUAUAAGUUUUUGAAACCCAAUAUUUUAUGUUAUUUGAUUUUUAAGAGAAAAAUUGACGUCAUUGAAAACUUUUUUUUACAAAUUGAUCAAAUAAUGGGCCGGUUUGGUGAUAUUCUAUGGGAAAUAAAAAUAUAUCAAGGAAUUAAGGUCGUGAAAGAGAUUUGAACGAAAAAAAAAAUCAAGGAAUAGAGAUCUCGAUGAUAGCAUGCAAAAAGAAAAAAAUAAAAGAAUGAGAAGUCUAGAGAAUAAAUAAGAGGUAUAAUGAAUAACUUAUCAACAUAUAUGUGAAUAACAUACAUAAGGUUAUUUUAGGAAUUUGAAAGGAGGUCUAGUGAGCAAAUGCUUGUAGUUAAAAUUAAAAAGGAGGUGUAAAUAGCAUGAGAGGUAUACUGAGCAAAUUUGGAGGUCUCAAUAGCCGCACUCUUACAUUAUACUUAAGAAUGUAAUCUACAUAGAGAAGGUUUUGCAUGUCUUCAUUUCUUAAUUUAUUCUACUCCUCAUACCUCUUUCUUAUCUCUAUGUCUCUCUUCUCUCUAGUUUCAGAACGGUGGCUGGUAAGUGGUAACUUAUAGAUUAUCAAUAAAAAUUUUCAAUCACAGUUUUGUUUAUAAUGAAACUGAACAAAUAGAUUGUCAUAUCAUAUCAAUUGAUUCACAAACAGAUUUCAUUACUAAAAAUUGCCAUCGCGCUUCCAACACUAUAACCACCGUCGUGCUUCCAAUCCGGAAGCUUGCACUUCCUUUGCUCUUCCAAAACCACUUUUUCCGCUUCGGUAGCGGGAAACGUGAGUGAGGCCAAGCUUCCGUGCUUCCUAGGUUUUAAGAACGGUAAUGGUUGUGAAAUGUUGCAACAGUUUGAAUUUUGGUAAGGAAAUAUAGAAUUCUCUGAACUAGCAGUGAUAGGGUUUCAAUUUCUAUAUUGGUUCUCUUCUGGCUGUCUCCCUUUGAUUGAUUUUUUGUGUCAUGUUUUUAUUUCUGUUUGGGUUCUGCUUACUCGGUUGUUAGUUGUUACCGAUGCAUUGGCUGUUUUUUUUUUUUUUUUCUCGAUAGGGAGCUCUAGUUGCACCUUUAAAUUUGUUGUGUAUACCUCCGUUACUUUGUGCAGCUCCAUUUUACUUUUUAACACACUUCAAAUCUAAAUACACAUCCUUCCUAUUACUGAAAUACCCUCUUCUCUGAAAUCUCAUCUUUAUUACGAGUAAUUAUUCUUUGCACCCGGAACACCACGUGGUUUCUCUAGGUUCUCUAUCACACAGUAAAGUUUUCAAUGUUUUCUGAUUUACUUCCAUCCAGCAAAUCCCCAACUACUUAAACUUUUAUCACCAUUACAGUUAGAAUUUAAAGGUGAGAAUAUGUCUAAACUCAUAAUUACCGGGUUUUUGGAUUUCAACAAACUCGUCCUCGUCAGGCCUGUGUUCUUAUCAAUGUCGGGCAAACCAAUAAAUCGCAAAUCAAAACCAUCAUUUCUAACAUCAAUCAAAGUUCUUUGAAGGCAUUUCAAGGUUUGCAUCUGUAUUUCCAUAAUCAAUUUGUAAGGGUUUCAAAGUCUGUAUUUGGAUCUGACAUUCUUGGAUUAGCAAACAAAUACAAAAUACAAAAUAGAUCUUGUAUAACUAAUGGCAGAUAAUCUGAGAAUUGCAAUGGUCUCCAAUUAGCUGUGGAGGACUACUGUAAGAUUAUUUGUAGUCUAAAAGGUCUCCCUUGAAACACUAGUUUUUCUUAUUCGUUUUUGUUGAAAAGAAUAAUAAUCCAUCCUUAUCUCAAGUUUCUUGAUUGCUUUAAGCCAUGAACACCACGAUUGGGUUGGUUAAACCACAAUCACAGGUUUGAAGACGAAGGCAAAUUCAUCAUUGUGGACUUGCAACCAGCCGUAACUUCCUUCGUCUUAGAUACCAAACAAAUUCUGGUUUAACAAAUGCAUUCUCUAUUUGCCUUUAUUUGUCUUUUUGUAUUGAGUUGAAAAAAGUCAAACUUUUGUGUAAAAAGAAUAGAGGUGUAUAAAGAAAAAAAAAUUUAGAGGUGCAACUAGAACCUCCCUUUCUCGAUUACACAUUUAUUUCUCGUUCACUUAUUUUGUACUGAUUAUAUGUUAUUCUGUAUUAAUUAUAUGUUUCUGUGUCUGAAUAUGGUUCAUUUAUAAGCCAACUUAUGUAGCAUGAGCUUUGUGUCUCGCGACUUGUUUCGGUCUUAAUCCCCCCUACCCACAACGCACCAAAUUCCCAUCGCAAAAGUUGUCGACUGCGUUUUGUACACCAGCAUAUUCUAGUUUCAACUGUUUCGAUGCCAGCUGGUUCUAAUGGGAAAACGAUACGAGGCAAAGUAACUCUCAAGUUGGUUAUUCACCACAUCCAUUUCAAUCAUUUCAAUUAUGCUAAGAUGUCAUGGUGAAUACCAUGCAGUGUCUCUGGUCUAGUCCUUUAUCCGCUUCACUUGCGUAGGCUGUGUUUUGAAGCGCUGGUUGUCCCUGUGUGUAACCCACAAUUUGCCAAGACUCCCAGAUUCGUCAUCUUUUCCCUGCACCUAAUCUGAGUCCCUACAUUUUCUAAGACCAGCCCACAAGGCCGAAGGGGAAGAUACUCAAGAUAGCCCAUAUCCGAAAGGAUAGGUCCAAACCCGAUUCCCAGCAUAAGUACUCAGUAUCCCGCGCGUGACGACCACGCCUCUUCAAAACCCUAAAGUUCCUGGGUUCACUGCAAAGCAGCAAAUGACGGAUCACUUACCCGAAGACGUGAUAGUUGAAAUACUGAAGAGGUUGCCCACCAAAUCCCUAAUCCGCUUCACCUCUGUUUCCAAAAGCUGGCGCUCCAUCAUACUAUACGACCCCAAAUUUGCGAAAUCCCAGUUCCAAUUACAAACCGUCCGUCACAGCAGGAUCCUCAUCUCUAACCCCGAUGAACCUGAACUCGAAUCCCGAGACUCCUUUUCGUCGUUUGGAGACGAUUCUUCAGUGAGAAAGUUAAUUAGGUGCCCGUUCAUUCGAUCUGUGCACAGGUUAUAUGGCCGUGGUGUCAACUUACUUGGCUCCUGCAAUGGUUUGGUAUGUGCACAGCUUGAUCAUCAUGAUUACCAUAUCUACAUAUGGAAUCCAUCAACUGGCUUCUUCUAUGAAUUACCAGAACCGGUUGGUUUCCCCCCAAGGCACUUGUUUCUACUCUACUAUGGUUUUGGCUAUUUGUCGGCCUCUGACGACUACAAAGUAUUCACCAAAUUUUAUGAUGAUGAUGGUCUUCUGAUCUUCUCAUCCAAAGCCAACAUUUGGAAAAGAACGGAUGCCCCAGCCCCUCUUGAGUAUUACCCUUAUCAGGGGAUUCUUUCAAAUGAGGCACUCCAUUGGUUGCACCAUCGUAAUGGCAUAUGUGCUUUUGAUCUAGCAAAGGAGGAGUUCUGAAGAAUGCCGCUGCCUAUUAAUCAAUAAAUGUAGAUAGUGGUUCGGUUGGGCAUCUGCAGGCUUUCGGAGACUGUCUAUAGUGGAAAUUUUAAAACUGAUGGCUCUGUUGAUACGUGGGUGAUGAAAAACUACGGCGUGGCUGACUCAUGGACGAAACUAAAGUUGAAGGUUACCGAUCAGCCUGAAAACAGAAUCGAAUUAUGGACAAUCUUUUUUUGGGUAAUGAAUAAUUCAUUAAGGGACAAAGGCCAAAGACCAAAGCAAGGGCCCAAUACAGAAAAAAGAAGCAAGAAACUAAACAACUAAACCCAGCAAGGAUCUAGGGAUUGUUCUUGAAACAAAAAGAAGAAUUCCAGCAAGCUGCCGAGCUCACAUUUCUGCUAAGAAAGACUGUAGACAGAUAUGGGCGGAUGGUGCAAGAGCUGAUAAGGAGUGGUCAUACCGAAAAAAGCUUGAAUCGCCUAGCGUAAGAUGGAAUAUAGAUGAUAUGAAACUUAUUGGAUUUGAAGAGACUUUACUCUCGCUUGGUUAGUCCGACGCCCUCUUUUCUUGAUUUACUGGAAUUGUUUCAAUUAAGCCCGGCAACGGGCCGGAUCUGUGCGGGUUCUUACCGGGUGGGCUCUUAACGGGUCGACACGUUAAGCCCGUUGGCUUAACGGGUUUAACCGUGUCGGGCCUGACCGGUUUACGAGUUUCCGUUUGAACCCGUUGGAACCUGCUAAGCUCGUGACCUAACAUUUUUUCGUAGGAAUGAGCGCGAAACUGAAGCGGAUAGCAGUUGGAUUUUGUACGGCUUUUUAAAAGUUUUUGCUUAACCGGUCCUAACUGGUUCAACCCGCACGACCCGUUAACUAACGAGUUUUUGGCGUGCGGGCUUUUUUCAGCCCGUUUAGUAAAUGGACAGGUUUCGUGCAGGUUUUAGCAGGCAGGUUCGCGGACUAGGGGCCAAAUUGCCAGGCCUAGUUUCAAAUCACAUUUGCAAUUGAUUGAAUAUGAGUGACGAUAAUGUUAGACCGUUUUUUUUUGUUAGAUGAAGUGGCUGUAAAGAAAUCACUACACUUCAAUACGUUUCACAUUUGCAAUAGGUGUAUCAAUACCAACCCUUUUUUUUUAAUUUUUUUUUUACUACACUUCAUAUUUGCAAUAGGUGUAUCAAGAGCAAUUAUAUAUGGGAAAAUGCUUGAGAUCCAAAAGUAAUUUUACCAAAUAUCAAUACCAAGUGAUGUGACAUGUGCCAUAUGAUCAAACUAUUUCCAGCAUGUAUAUGCUUAUUUUAUUUCUAUUGUUUAAAAUAAAAAUAUCAGUAAUUAAAAUUAUUAUUUUUCGAAAAAUUGUAUACAAUAAACAACAACCAAAAGAACCCUAAUCCAACCCUUUCAAUUGUAGAGAUUAUUGAAAAGGCCAUCAGCCAAAACUAUAACAACGGAAAACAAAGUAGUGUAUGGCUUGGUUCAUUAGUUCAUUGGUAAUCGGAAUUAUGAUCUAUUGAAUCUAUUCUAUAAGUUUUGUUCAAGUUCAUACUAUAUGUGUCAAUUUGUUAUAUUAAAUGACACGAACAUAUAGCAGUGGUUUUGUGGGAUGAUCAGUGAGGUUUCGCAAUGGUGGUAGUCUUCACUUGGGAAUGUCUAUACAGUAUGUGAUAGAGUUAUGAUGUUUUUCAAUUGAUAGCCAGAUCUAUCUUAUUUACUGGAUUUCAUAUGAAUUUAACAAGAGCUUUCAUAUUGUUAGGGAAAAUUCUAGGGUGAGUUGAUGCAUAACAUACAUCAACUCUUUUGAAUAUUCUUGACCAUUGGAUAUAAUAAAAUUUUGAAUAUAUCUAACGGCUUAGAUUAUUCAAUAUUGAUAACUUGUUUAUCAGGUAGCAUGUAAUUUUAUAAUUUAUAUAUGAAAAAUAUAAUAAAAAACAAAAACAGAAUUUAGAAAAAAACCCUAGCUUAUUAGAAACAGAUUGAUGAAACCUAAAGUGAAGGAAGAGAAUAGGAGACGAAGGAGAAAGAGGUUGACUUCAUUCGUUCUGUGAGAAAAGGAGAGGAAGGAGAAAGAGGUUGAUAAAACCUAAGGUAAUUUGCUCUCUCAGAUUCAUUCGUUCUGUGAUGUAUAUGAGUUUAUCAAACGCCACAAAUGGCUUCACAUUUGUUUUAUGAAUCAUCAUCUUGUAUAUAUCUGUGGUCUGCAUCAUUGAAUGAGAUUUUUCAUAACAUGGGUGCUCCAGCUCUUCAAGCUUGUUUGGAGAAACUGAUUUAUAUUGAUAUUUGAGAUUAGAAUAAUAGGGAGGAACAAUGGCUUUAAAUUGUAAGCGUCUUAAGUUGGUAUGCAUUUUGACAGAUGAAGCUUUAAACUUCAACUGAAAGCUGGAAGUCUGGAACCUUGUAUGACAAUUUAAACCAGCAAGAAAAAUGUUGCACCCAGGGCAUUUGUUUUCUUAGAAGCUGCACCAGGGAAUUUGUUUUCCUUGUUUUUUUGGACAAGUCAAUCUCUAUUUCUAACAAAUUACAGGUACAUAUCUUGAGCAUGAUUCACAAGUUAUAUAUGCUUGGUAUAACCAUAAUGUUAAUCACAAAACGUGUUUGAUUAUACUAGAUAACCACAUGGCACUCUUCAAGUUCACAGACGCGUCCUGAAUUUAGUUUUGGCUCAUCUUCUCCAUCAGAAUCUUCAAGAGAAGCAAACAGGCAAUCACACAGGUGUUAUUGUCACUGGAAUGAGCAACAAGGUUCCAAGGUGUCAUUCCUUUCGUAAAUUUCUAGCAAGAAAGGCUCUUUUGGAUCAGCAAAAAAAUGAGUGUGGGGCACCAGAUCCUCCCUGCUAUUGUCUCACUCUCUUCUCCUCCAUGAUUGGGAUUCCCAUGUGAUUGUGCUCCUCCUCUAAACACUCAGACACUCAAAGAAAGAGAGAGAAAGAUAUAGACAGAGAUGUGCGGUCUUGUUUGGGCUAAUCCUCCUUCAUGGUCCUUAAGGACCUUAACCUAUAGGGGUACGUAGUACCAGUACCACUCCCACCUGUGAAUAUUGGAUGUGAUAAAUGUUGUGUUGUUUUUGAGUUUACUCAUACAAGCUUUUUAGCUUACCGGGUUUGUUGUUUACAACCCGGCGCACCUAUUUCUUGGUGUAGGGGUUAGACCUGCAGGUGAGGAUCAACAGGGUUGAGAUGGAGGCGUAGUGGCUAGGUUUUUUGUUGUUGUUGGGUUUUGAGUGUGUCUUUGUAUAUUCUUUUUAUAUACAUUGGGAUAGGAAUUAUUAAACUCAUGUGAGCAUUCCCUUUCUUGUUCUCAAGUUAUGUAAACAAGGAAAUGUAAUAUUUAACUCAAUUUGGAGUUGUAUGUAAAUUUACAUUUCGCAUUGAGUUUAUUUUCCUUGAUUUUUGUUGAAACAGGUUUUGGGAUAUUAAUAUUUUAGGAUAUAUCAUGCCAAAAUUUUUGAAAUUUAUCUUUCGAAAAUUGGGGCGUGACGGUUAAGCCUAUGGAAACUACUAUUUUUAUUCUUUGAGAAUUUUUUACAACCUUGGUUUUUCCAGGAAUUUGAAAAACGGCUUCACCAAAGACACGUCUAUCUUUCUAAUAGUAGAGAUACAUAUAUAGGAACUAAUGGAAAGAGUCUUCAAUAUGUGAAAAUUACCUACCCGAUAGAUAUCUCCAAAAAAAGUUUGAAACGGAAGAGUUUUGAAAGAAAGUUUCCGCUAAGGUUUUUAUAAGUGAUUAGCAAUUUUUGAUACUUUAAUUUGCUAUAUUGUAUUUUAGUUAUGAAUUUCUCUAGACACAUGUGAGAAUUAUUUGUUAUGUUUAGAAUUUGAGAAAAAAAGGCCGCAGCAAGGCACGGCCGGGUUUUUACCUAGUUGCCAUAUUAAUGCAUAAUACCUUAACUGAUAUGCUUUCCUUCAAUAGAGCAUAUCCCUUCACCAUCAAUCUUGCUUUAUAUCUAACUUUCCCUUCUUCAUUGUGAACUUCUUUUUUGUGUAAACCCAUUUACAACCUAUAGUUUUCUUUCCUUCAAGUUGUUCAACCAAAUUCCAUGUUUUGUUCUUCAAAAGAGAAUCACUACCAGGACAAGCACUUUAGCCGACGAAAAUGACGAAAAAUUUUCGUCGGCCUGUUAGCUUAAUUCGUCGGCUAAGAUCUUAGCCGACGAGCCAUCGUCGGCUAAGAUUUCGUCGGGAAAAGGUCGUCUGUGAUGACAUUAGCCGACGAAAAAAAAAUUUCGUCAGCUAUAGUCCCGCAGUUUAGCCGAUGAAAAACAUGUCGUCGGUUUUUUUCCCAGACUUUAGCCGACGAAACAAUUAAGAUAUUCGUCGGCUAAAGUCUGUAAUAAAAAAAUUUUUCCCAGACUAUAGCCGACGUUUUUUCCCAGACUAUAGCUGACGAAAUAUAGUAUGUUUCGUCGGCUAAACCUUAUAAAAAAAUUUAAAAAAAUAACUAUAGCCGACGAAAUAUAGUCUGUUUUGUCGGCUAAACCUUAUAAAAAAUUUUAAAAAAUAACUAUAGCUGACGAAAUAUGUCAUAANNNNNNNNNNNNNNNNNNNNAAAUUUACAUUUCGCAUUGAGUUUAUUUUCCUUGAUUUUUGUUGAAACAGGUUUUGGGAUAUUAAUAUUUUAGGAUAUAUCAUGCCAAAAUUUUUUAAAUUUAUCUUUCGAAAAUUAGGGCGUGACACUACACUAUGCCAAUAACAUUAUCAGGGCACGACAUAUAAAGCAGCAUUUCAAACAAGUGUCGUCUGAUGGUUUUUGUGGUUUUUUAGACGACAUAUAAAAUGUAAAAGUCGUCUCAAUGACAUCCUACUUCAAUACUUUUAGAGGCUAGUUCAUUUUUUUUAGGUUUGUAAAAAUCAUACGACAUAUAGGUGUGGUGUCAACAAACCUAGAAAUUCUCACUUUCAGUGGAAAAUUGAGACCUCAUAUCAAGGCUGGCCCUGAGAUUUUGGGGGCUCGAAGCGAAAAAAAAAAAUUGGGGCUCCCUGCCUAAAAGUCGUCCUCAUUCACCUGCAUAUCUGGUUCUUCUCCUCCGCCACUAUUAUUAACAUGGUGAUGAAGGACUGGUUCCUCAUUCAAAUUUGAUUCCUCAUUCAAACCUUGUUCUUCAUUCAAAUUUGCUUCCUCAUUCAAAUCUGGUUCCGCAUUCAAACUUGGACUUGCUUCUGCAUUCUCAUUCUCAUUCUCAUUGGUAGAAGUUUGUGCUUGUUUAAUACUUGGCUUUAAAUAAUUGCAAAUAGAUCAUGCUUAAAGCUUUUUUAAUGCCUCUCUUCUCUGCUUCUCUUUUCUUUUUUUAGCCCCAGAAGGAUACUUCCUAAUUGGAGCCAUAUGACACCUUGCAAUCAAUUAUGAAAUCAAAAUCAAACCAAAACCUGUCUCACAAUCAGUCUUCCUAAUUGAAAUCAAAACGAAAAAACCCUUCUCAUUCUCAAUUUUAAGUUCUCAACUAUGAAAUUGCAAAAACUAUGGGAUUGGACUCAUUACUAUUGGAGGAGGACUGGAGGAGGACAGACCACAGACUUACCUGAGAGAACUCAGACUCAGAGACGGCAAGUCGGCAAGACGCGUGCGUUGUGGGGGUGGACGGCUGGACGAGGCAGUACGAGCGACCGGGCGUGCAGCAGAGUGAGCAGACGGCAGUCGACAGCCAAUGACUUCGAUCAAAGAGAAUUAGAAAAAGACAGAAAGUUGUAGAAGUAAGAAGUAAGAAGUUGUGUAGGUUAUGUUUAGUAUAUAUGUUUUUUUUUUAUUUAUAUAUGUAUAUAUAUGCUUGGAUUUGAGAAUUUGGGGCCCUUAAAUUUGGGGGCCCAAAGCAAAGGCUUGUUGGGCUUAGCCCAGGGCCGGUACUGCCUCAUAUAUAUGUUGUGUGAGGAAGACUGUCCAAAUCGAGUUUUCAGCUCUUUUAAUGUACUUCUAGAGACGACAAAUAUAUGUCGUCUGAAAGAAACUGAAAUUUUCAAUUCAAACUUCCCUAUGCGAGUUUUAAUGUGCUUAUCUUUCAGACGACAUAUUUAUGUUGUCCAACAAAAACCUUAAAUUUUCAAUGGGCACACUGAAGUUUUCCCACCCUUAGCGAAAUUUUCCCGCUCUUUACAAAAUAGGGCGCCACUUCUUUGUGUGACUCAGACGAUAUAAAUAUGUGGUUGUAAGAGGUCUGAAAUUGGUCAACAAACGAUAUGCCUAUUAUCCAUAGGGAAACACUCUUAUCUCCUUCGGCCGAACUUAUUUUUUUGAUUCGUGAAUGUUGAAACUCUCAUUGAGUACUCGCGAAACUAAUCAAUGAGAAAAUUUAGAAACGUUUAUAAACCGAUUAUAUAUCUCCCCAUAGAGAAGUUUAAAG